AGCGGAUGUUGUUCCGGCGCGGAGACUUAACUACCGGCGGCAUGGCGUCCAGCGACGGGAAGCCGGGUUGCAUUUUCGACCACCACGUCCAGACGGCUGUGUGCGACUCGCGGGCCAAAUACCGGGAGGGCCGACGCCCUCGUGCGGUCAAGGUAUAUACAAUCAAUUUGGAGUCACAGUACUUAUUAAUACAAGGAGUUCCUGCCGUGGGAGCCAUGAAGGAAUUAGUUGAGCGAUUUGCCCUGUAUGGUGCGAUUGAACAGUAUAACGCUCUAGAUGAAUACCCAGCAGAGGAUUUUACGGAAGUUUAUCUCAUUAAAUUUGUGAAAUUACAAAGUGCAAGGAUAGCUAAGAAAAAGAUGGAUGAGCAAAGUUUCUUUGGUGGGCUACUUCAUGUGUGCUAUGCUCCAGAAUUUGAGACAGUUGAAGAAACUAGAAAAAAAUUAGAAGAAAGAAAGGCUUACAUUGCAAGAGCUACUAAAAGCAAAGACUAUUACAUGACAAAGAAGAAACUGGUUCCAGAACAAAAAGGAACAAAAGAUUCUAGACAAGAUUUCCAUCCACAUAUGCCUGGAUUUUGCACAACUGCUUUGAACACUUCUCCUGAGAACUCACGUCCUUCUCUUCCUUAUUCUUGUGAAUUGCCUUUAUGUUAUUUUGCCUCCCAAAGCAAAUGUUUACCUGGGGAACAUACGGACAGAGCAUCAAACUCCUGUAGUAGCAGUAGGAACCACAAUGAACUAUCGAAACAUCAUAACUACAGUGCCUUUUCCCCUAAACUACAGAUGAACACUUACAAAAAUUCACCACCUUGCUCUAGUGUGCAAGAGGCGAUUACUACCUCAGAGUCAGUGGGCAGAUUUAUGCCAAGGACAACACAGCUGCAGGAGAGGAAAAGAAGGAGAGACUGUGCUCAUGAACUUGGAACGUUUCCUGAAACAAACACAAGCAGUCACGAAGUUAUGAUUGGACCUAAGUUACCAGGUAUUCCCACAGUGGAUCUGCAGGAUGACUCCUUGAAUACAACGGCAAAUUUAAUUCGGAAUAAACUUAAAAAGGUGAUUUCAUCUGUACCAGAGCCUCCAGAGAGCAAAUCGGAAGACGUGCAUACAAGUCACCCACAGAAACAAAGAAGAAGAAUAUAGCUUGCCAGAUUAAAUAUCUUUCGGGAGCUAGAAGAACAAACAGCUCGGAGUCCCUGGAUUUGGGGUUUGAAAAUGGUAUCAAGCUGCAAUAAAUGAGUGGAGGGCACAUUUUCUUCUGUGAAAAGACAACAAGUGACCCCAAGGGAGCACAAGCUCAACCCGACAUUGAGACCUAUUUCCUGCCAAGCCUAGACAGGCACAGCAACCUUAGCUUUGUCAGCUGACCCUUAGUGACUGUUCUUAACCUGGGCUGUAAGCCAAACACCCACCCUAGUGGCAAGUGAGCAUUACAGACUUAGUAAGUCACAACUGGGUCUCCCAGUUCAUCUUUGUGGGGUUUUUUCUUACUUUUUCUUUUUUAUUUAUUAUGUAUACCGUGUUCUGCCUGCAUACCAGAAGAGGGUGCCACAUCUCAUUAUAGAUGGUUGUGAGCUACCCUGUGGGUGCUAGGAAUUGAACUCAGGACAUCUGGAAGAGCAGCCAGUGCUCUUAACCACUGAGCCAUCUCUCCAGCCCUCCUUUUCUUACUUUUCCACAUUUAUAUAUGUACACAUGUAUUUAUACUCAUGGAGGUCAGUGAACAACUUUCAAGGAUUGGAUCUCCUACUAUGUGGGCUCUGGGGAUUUUACUCAGGUGUCAGACCUGGUGGCAAGCGCCCUCACCUGACAAACCAUCUUCCUGGCACUUUGUUUCUGUUUGAGAUGUCCUGAGGCAUUUUUACAAGGUUGUUUUAGAGAGCACUGGUUUCAUCUUUUUGAUUAUAUAAGCAUUCACUUGUGACCAAACAUUCCUGGAAAGAAGUACAUCAACUAAGGCUGACUGAUGAGAACUUCACUUCGUUUGGAAUGUUUUGGGUUGAGAGCCUUGGUGUGUCUUUGGCCCCUUUAAAUGGCUAUUUAUUUUCCACCUCUGAGUGGGACCUAACACCCUGUGGCUAUUAAGUAAAUCCUUUGGAAUGUUUUCACCAACCCAGAAGCUGAGAGUGCCCCCUGCCAUGCUGUGACCACCUGCCAAUGUACUUGAGAAGUGUUUUGAGUUAUGACCUUGUUGUUUUGUUAUUAGGGGACUUCACAAAAUUGCUGUCACACCAGAGUGUGCAAUGUUCAUAACCUGAACCUGUUCCCAGCUGUGGCCACUCUAGUUAGCUGCAGAGUCAGUGCUGUCCUGUCCCUUCGUGGGUGACGACUCUCAGUGCACCAGCACACUAACGCAGAGCUGAUGGGCAUCGCAGUAAGCCAGCAAUGGAUUCUUACAAUUCGUCUUUUCUUCAAAAGUCCCUCGGAGAAACACUGACAAUCCUUCAACCCACUCUUGUACACUUAUGUGGUUAUCACUGUCUUUGUCAAACACAAAGAACACUGAAAAGGAAAAAGAAUAUGUGAGUAUUGUGAUUACUUUAAACUCCCAGCCCAUGUUUAGAUAGAAGAACUUCGCUUACAAAUCGAGGGAGAAAUGUUUGGUGUUAUCUUUUGAAAGAAUCAAAGCUACUGGAAAUGUGGGUUUCCCCCUUUACUUCUAAAGCAGAAGAGUCUGUCAUUCCACACAAUGAGCAAUGAUGAUACUCAUUUCUGGUAUCUUAUGUAGUUGCUAAAACCAAGAAAGUCCACAGAGCUAAUAAAAAGUGAUGAAAAUC